rnacentral:rRNA from 1 species
AUUGAACGCUGGCAGCAUGCUUAACACAUGCAAGUCGAACGAGUGGCGGACGGGUUAGUAAUGCUUGGGAAUCUGGCUUAUGGAGGGGGAUAACGACGGUAAACUGUCGCUAAUACCGCGUCCCAUAAGAUGAGCCCACGUGGGAUUAGGUAGUUGGUGGGGUACUGGCCUACCCAGCCGACGAUCUCUAGCUGUUCUGCGAGGAUGACCAGCCACACCGGGACUGAGACACGGCCCGGACUCCUAAGGUAGGCAGCAGUGGGGAAGAUUGCGCAAUGGGGGCAACCUGACGCAGCCAUGCCGCGUGAAUGAAGAAGGCCUUCGGGUUGUAAAGUUCUUUCGGUGACGAGGCGUUAAUCACAGAAGAAGCACCGGCUAACUCCGUGCCAGCAGCCGCGGUAAUUC